rnacentral:rRNA from 1 species
AUUGAACGCUGGCGGCAGGCCUAACACAUGCAAGUCGAGCGAGGGGCGGAUGGGUGAGUAAUGUAAGGGUACUGCCAGAUGGAGGGGAAUAACUACUGGAAACGGUAGUUAAUCACGCAUACAAAUGGACUACCCAUGUGGGAUUAGCUAGUCGGUGAGGUAAUGGCUCACCUAGGCGACGAUCCCUAGAUGGUGUGAGAUGAUGAUCAGCCACACUGGCACUGAGACACGGCCCAGACUCCUACGGAGGCAGCAGUGGGGAAUAUUGCACAAUGGGCGAAAGCCUGAUGCAGCCAGGCCGCGUGUAUGAAGAAGGUCCUCGGGUUGUAAAGUACUUUCAGUCGGGAGGCGUUACCAACAGAAGAAGCACCGGCUAACUCCGUGCCAGCAGCCGCGGUAAUAC